rnacentral:misc_RNA from 1 species
CUGCUGUCUCCUGUUCUGGAACGGCUAGCCUCAAAUGUAUUAGCUGGUCCUUGUUGUGGGAAUUGGUUCUACUCAGCGUGAUAAUUGAUGACCGCUGAGGACAUCUUUCGGGAUGGCCAGGCCUGCGUUGGAUUGCUUCGAAAUCACGAUAUUUUUUCAACUUUGACCUCGAAUCAGGCGGGACUACCCGCUGAACUUAA